UACGUAGGGUGCAAGCGUUGUCCGGAAUUAUUGGGCGUAAAGCGCGUGUAGGCGGCAUUGCAAGUCGGGUGUGAAAGCCCUCGGCUCAACCGAGGAAGUGCGCCCGAAACUGCAGUGCUUGAGUACCGGAGAGGGUGACGGAAUUCCCCAAGUAGAGGUGAAAUUCGUAGAUAUGGGGAGGAACACCGGUGGCGAAGGCGGGUCACCUGGA
rnacentral:rRNA from 1 species